rnacentral:lncRNA from 1 species
UUCCCAGGUCCAGGCCUGAGGCAGUCGGGGCUGAACCAUGACCCAUAUACAAAACACAAGACGCAGGAAGAGGUGUUACUGGAGAUCCACUGGACUCAACCCAGGCCAAAGUCUUCCUGAGGCCGAGAGGAAGCCACAGAGGAGAUGGGAUGAUAGCCUUACCAGCUGCUGUUUCUGGUAGUGGAUCUUGGCCGGCCUCUUCUCCAGGACAGCCCUCAGCACCGGGUUUUUCCAGGUGACCUCAGGAGCCAGUCACUUCAGAAACAGGAUUUCUCUGUGUAGCCCUGGCUGUCCUGGAAUCUACUCUGCACACUUGGCUGUCAAACUUCACAGAGAUCUGCUUGCUUCUGCCUAUUGAAUGCUGGGAAUAAAGAUGUGUGCCAUC